UCGGGGCAAGCUAACGUAGGGAGGACCGCAGGUCCAUCGGCUGCCAUGAAGCAACAAAGACAGGCAAACGCGUUAGGCAUACCACCACCAGGCCAAGAACGACCGCAUCAAAGGAUCAGAGAAGGCCCCGAACGCACAGUUUGUACCAACACCAUCAUCAAGGAUGUGAUCGGUUUGUUGUCACAACAGUUUAUGAGCAAAACCGAGCAGUUGCAAAGCCUUUAUGAAUGGAAUGAUGGGACAGUAUCGCUUGUCGUACAGCAUAAAAUGAUGCAAAUACCGUACAAUAUCUAAUUGACAAGCUGCAGCAGUUGAUGAUCCCGAAUGGUUCAUGUUUAAGUGUUCAACAGAAAAAGGCGACUUCGGGGCAAGCUAACGUAGGGAGGACCGCAGGUCCAUCGGCUGCCAUGAAGCAACAAAGACAGGCAAACGCGUUAGGCAUACCACCAGCAGGCCAAGAACGACCGCAUCAAAGGAUCAGAGAAGGCCCCGAACGCACAGUUUGUACCAACACCAUCAUCAAGGAUGUGAUCGGUUUGUUGUCACAACAGUUUAUGAGCAAAACCGAGCAGUUGCAAAGCCUUUAUGAAUGGAAUGAUGGGACAGUAUUGCUUGCCGUACAGCAUAAAAUGAGAGGUGUCGCUAAGAAAUGGUAAGGUGCAAAGAUGGUUUUCCAAUCUUGGAAAUAGUUCAAGACCGUUCCUUUACAAGAUUUUCAAAGCUGAUUGCAAAAUUACCAGUAGUUACCAGGAAACAGACCAUAUUUUUUAUUUGCAAUUAUGUACGCUUGUAUUUCACGCAGACCGUUGACCGAUUUUUAGUCUUUUUACGUUUAAAACAAGACCAGAUCCCUUAUCACCUUUUCAUAGGGCCAACAAUUUCUAAAAAACUGGACACAGUUUUAAAUUUUUCAAAUUUCGAUAUAAAUCUGCAAGUAUUACUAUCAGAGUCUUAUUGGCCGUGGUCUUAUUUACAGACUACCAUUGCAAAGUUACCAGUGGUUACCAAUAAACAGGCUAAUCGAGUUUCUACAGGCAAUCCAAAAGUUUCAGCUUGCAGAGUAAGGACAUGUUUAAAGGACUCUUGGUAAUGGCAAACGGAAUUCAGCCACAGACUUUGAAAAUGAGGGAGUUAUUAACCUUGGCCAGACAAAGUAGUCAAAUUUUCCAUAGUGCUCAGGAAUCGAGAAAACCAUAUGCAUCAGCGAUUAUGGAACGCCGCAACACGAUGGUGAUGUACGCAGAUAUCUCAGCAUUAUUAGAUUCUUCCGUAAGUUUGUCAAGGAAUAUAGCAUGAAGGCAGCUUCUUUGAGUGAGCUUCUGAAAAAUUAAGAGUUCCUGUGAGAAGCAGAACAAAAAAAAGCAAUCCAAAACUCAAAGAAAGCUAUCACAUCGCAGCCCGUAUUGACUUUUUAUGAUCCAGCUCGGCGCAACGAAGUACACACGGAUGCAAGCAACAAAGGUAUUGCAGGCGUUCUACUGCAAGAAGAAGACAAAGGACUCAGGCCUGUAUCUACUCUACGCUACUCAAGCUAUGCGAUGUUAGCAAUUACCGAGUCCUUGGAAAGAAUCCGCUUUUAUCUCAUUGUUAAAGCCGAAUGUAUCGAAAAACUGAUAAUAGUAAUUAGUUGGUGGUACCUCAAGCAAUCAGAUGGCGCAUAAGCAAGUGAAACCAUGAUGAAGCAGGACAUUUUUAAGCCAAAAAGACUUUGGAAAGACUAAUGAAAUAUUUUUAGUUUCCCAGGAUGCGCGGAUCUAUCAAGUCUUUUAUUGCGUCUUGCCCUGAACGCUGAGUCAAUAAGUUAAAAAGCGGAAAGUCUGAUGGUGAACUAUACAUCCGGGAAGUAGUACCCGUUCCGUACGUUCCGAAAAAUUAACAUUGAUCACAUUGAGCCGUUCAUAAAAAGUAAAACCGGACACUGUCACAUACUGGUACAUACACCUGUCUUAUACCAACACGUAACACAAAAACGACACCAGUUAUCAAAGCCCUGAAACAAUUUUUGUGCGUUUUUGGGUAACCUGUACGCAUAAUUUCAGAUAAAACACAUCGUUUACAUCAAAGCAAUUCGACUAUUUUAUUAAUGAAAAUGGAAUUCAGCACAUUAAAAAAGGAGGUUCGCAUGUCUCGCGCUAAUAGACAUAAACUACCACAGUCAUCAAUAAAAAUUGGAUGAAAAUCUUGGUAAAAUUCAGUGGAGCAUGAAUACGAACAUCAAUUCUACCACAAAGUGUAUCCCAAAUGAUCUGGAAUCUGAACCAGAAGUCAAUGUUGAAUUAAAGCAAGCAGGACAAAACAUUAAAGCAGGGCAGCUAAAAUGGAAGAUACGAUAUGAAGCCAUGCAUACUUACACAGGGAAAUUCGGUGUAGAAGAUUUGGUUAAGAUCGAUUUUGUUCAGGCUGCGACAGGAGAUACACAUAAAUUGGAUCCAGCCUCUAAAGGACCUUAUGUGGUAAUAAAGGUUCUGUUGAACGACCGGUACGUAAUUAAUCGUUCAGUUUCUCAACGACGAAACAAGAACUUAGUAUCCAUCGAUCACGUGAAGCCUUGGUGUGCUUUAAUCCGAGAUCUGGAUACCAAUGAUGUAAACUAUAUUUACUCAACAGAAGGCUAACUAUCGUCAGGAAAGGCCGAGAUGUCAAUAAUAGAGCAGUACGGUCGGCAAUGCCAAAGGAGUAAGACGUAUGCCGCACGCUCACAAGGCAACCAAAUCUCUAUAUACAUUGUGUUACUUAUAUAUUUCAUAAAAUUCCUUUAUAAAUAAAUUCCUCCUUAAUUAGCAUCCUGAACAA